rnacentral:rRNA from 1 species
GAUGAACGCUGGCGGCGUGCCUAAUACAUGCAAGUCGAGCGAACGGACGAGAAGCUUGCUUCUCUGAUGUUAGCGGCGGACGGGUGAGUAACACGCGGAUAACCUACCUAUAAGACUGGGAUAACUUCGGGAAACCGGAGCUAAUACCGGAUAAUAUUUUGAACCGCAUGGUUCAAAAGUAAAAGACGGUCUUGCUGUCACUUAUAGAUGGAUCCGCGCUGCAUUAGCUAGUUGGUAAGGUAACGGCUUACCAAGGCAACGAUGCAUAGCCGACCUGAGAGGGUGAUCGGCCACACUGGAACUGAGACACGGUCCAGACUCCUACGGGAGGCAGCAGUAGGGAAUCUUCCGCAAUGGGCGAAAGCCUGACGGAGCAACGCCGCGUGAGUGAUGAAGGUCUUCGGAUCGUAAAACUCUGUUAUUAGGGAAGAACAUAUGUGUAAGUAACUGUGCACAUCUUGACGGUACCUAAUCAGAAAGCCACGGCUAACUACGUG